rnacentral:rRNA from 1 species
GGCAGCGCGAGAGAGCUUGCUCUCUUGGCGGCGAGUGGCGGACGGGUGAGUAAUAUAUCGGAACGUGCCCAGUAGCGGGGGAUAACUACUCGAAAGAGUGGCUAAUACCGCAUACGCCCUACGGGGGAAAGGGGGGGAUCGCAAGACCUCUCACUAUUGGAGCGGCCGAUAUCGGAUUAGCUAGUUGGUGGGGUAAAGGCUCACCAAGGCAACGAUCCGUAGCUGGUUUGAGAGGACGACCAGCCACACUGGGACUGAGACACGGCCCAGACUCCUACGGGAGGCAGCAGUGGGGAAUUUUGGACAAUGGGGGAAACCCUGAUCCAGCCAUCCCGCGUGUAUGAUGAAGGCCUUCGGGUUGUAAAGUACUUUUGGCAGAGAAGAAAAGGUAUCCCCUAAUACGGGAUACUGCUGACGGUAUCUGCAGAAUAAGCACCGGCUAACUACGUGCCAGCAGCCGCGGUAAUAC